rnacentral:rRNA from 1 species
UGGGGAAUUUUGGACAAUGGGCGAAAGCCUGAUCCAGCAAUGCCGCGUGUGUGAAGAAGGCCUUCGGGUUGUAAAGCACUUUUGUCCGGAAAGAAAUCCUUGGCUCUAAUACAGUCGGGGGAUGACGGUACCGGAAGAAUAAGCACCGGCUAACCACGUGCCAGCAGCCGCGGUAAUACGUAGGGUGCAAGCGUUAAUCGGAAUUACUGGGCGUAAAGCGUGCGCAGGCGGUUUGCUAAGACCGAUGUGAAAUCCCCGGGCUCAACCUGGGAACUGCAUUGGUGACUGGCAGGCUAGAGUAUGGCAGAGGGGGGUAGAAUUCCACGUGUAGCAGUGAAAUGCGUAGAGAUGUGGAGGAAUACCGAUGGCGAAGGCAGCCCCCUGGGCCAAUACUGACGCUCAUGCACGAAAGCGUGGGGAGCAAACAGGAUUAGAUACCCUGGUAGUCCACGCCCUAAACGAUGUCAACUAGUUGUUGGGGAUUCAUUUCCUUAGUAACGUAGCUAACGCGUGAAGUUGACCGCCUGGGGAGUACGGUCGCAAGAUUAAAACUUAAAUGAAUUGAC